rnacentral:lncRNA from 1 species
ACAGACGUACUCUGUAGAGGCUGGAGUUUACUCCACGACGUACUCUAUAGAGGCUGGAUGUAUACUCCACUAGACGUACUCUAUAGAGGCUGGAUGUAUACUCCACUAGACGUACUCUAUAGAGGCUGGAUGUAUACUCAACUAGACGUACUCUGUAGAGGCUGGAUGUAUACUCCACUAGACGUACUCUACUAGAGGCUGGAUGUUACUCACUAGACGUACUCUAUAGAGGCUGGAUGUAUACUCCACUAGACUUACUCUAUAGAGGCUGGAUGUAUACUCCACUAGACGUACUCUAGAGAGGCUCCACAACCCCUGAGUGCUGUGUGUGUACAUUCAUGUACGUGUGUCUUUCAUCUUUGAGUCGUCCACUGGUGAAGGAGGGAGACAGAGUGCUGCGGAU